rfam:Schistosoma mansoni, Puerto Rico, WGS project CABG01000000 data, contig: 0153
AUCCAGCUGACGAGUCCCAAAUAGCAUUUAACGCACGUCCUGGAU